rnacentral:rRNA from 1 species
UACGUAGGGGGCGAGCGUUGUCCGGAUUUACUGGGCGUAAAGGGCGCGUAGGCGGCCUGUUAAGUGUGAAGUGAAAUCUCCAGGGCUCAACCCGGAAACUGCUUUGCAAACUGGCAGGCUGGAGGAAGGUAGAGGUGAGUGGAAUUCCCGGUGUAGCGGUGACAUGCAUUGAUAUCGGGAGGAACACCCAUGGCGAAGGCAGCUCACUGGGCCUUUCCUGACGCUGAGGCGCCAAAGCGUGGGGAGCAAACAGA